UACUAGAGUAGCACUCGCAUAUCAAUAAGCGGAGGAAAAGAAACUAACAAGGAUUCCCCUAGUAACGGCGAGUGAAGCGGGAAGAGCUCAAAUUUGAAAUCUUAAAGGGUUUCCCUUUACGAAUUGUAGUUUAAAGAAGGUGUUUUCUGUUGAGGUUUUGGUAAAAGUUCUUUGGAAUAGGACAUCAUAGAGGGUGAGAAUCCCGUAUUUGACCUUUACUUUCAACUUUGUGAUACACUUUCAAAGAGUCGGAUUGUUUGGGAAUGCAGUCCAAAAUGGGUGGUAAAUUUCAUCUAAAGCUAAAUAUUGGCGAGAGACCGAUAGCGAACAAGUACCGUGAGGGAAAGAUGAAAAGAACUUUGAAAAGAGAGUUAAACAGUACGUGAAAUUGUCAAAAGGGAAGCGUUUGACACCAGUGUUGUUUUUCUGAAAAUCAAUUAAAGAACUGUUUAUGCUAAGUUGUUUAGACUUUAUCAGCUAUCUGCUUAGUUUUGAGCUUUUCUUUAAUGCACUUUUCAGUUAACAAGUCAACAUCAAUUUCUUUUGCUGUAAAAAAGCUUGAGGAAGGUGGCUUGAGAUUCGUCUUAAGUGUUUAUAGCCUCUUGCCUAUGCAGUCGGAGAGAUUGAGGUCUGCAGGCGUAGAUCCUUCGGGGCUAAAUGCAUUUGUGCUAAGUUAUAGCAUUUUAUAGACAACUUGUUGACUAUGAUUUGUCUUGUAGCUUACUCGCUUAUGUUAUUUUACCUACGCUUAGGAUGUUGAACUACUGAGACAUAGA
rnacentral:rRNA from 1 species